UACGAAGGGGGCUAGCGUUGUUCGGAAUUACUGGGCGUAAAGCGCACGUAGGCGGAUUUGUAAGUCAGGGGUGAAAUCCCGGGGCUCAACCUCGGAACUGCCUUUGAUACUGCAAGUCUCGAGUCCGAUAGAGGUGAGUGGAAUUCCUAGUGUAGAGGUGAAAUUCGUAGAUAUUAGGAAGAACACCGGUGGCGAAGGCGGCCCACUGGAUCGGUACUGACGCUGAGGUGCGAAAGCGUGGGGAGCAAACAGG
rnacentral:rRNA from 1 species